GAGUUUGAUCCUGGCUCAGGAUGAACGCUGGCGGCGUGCCUAAUACAUGCAAGUCGAGCGAACAGAUAAGGAGCUUGCUCCUUUGACGUUAGCGGCGGACGGGUGAGUAACACGUGGGUAACCUACCUAUAAGACUGGAAUAACUCCGGGAAACCGGGGCUAAUGCCGGAUAAUAUUUAGAACCGCAUGGUUCUAAAGUGAAAGAUGGUUUUGCUAUCACUUAUAGAUGGACCCGCGCCGUAUUAGCUAGUUGGUGGGGUAAUGGCUUACCAAGGCAACGAUACGUAGCCGACCUGAGAGGGUGAUCGGCCACACUGGAACUGAGACACGGUCCAGACUCCUACGGGAGGCAGCAGUAGGGAAUCUUCCGCAAUGGGCGAAAGCCUGACGGAGCAACGCCGCGUGAGUGAUGAAGGUCUUCGGAUCGUAAAACUCUGUUAUUAGGGAAGAACAAAUGUGUAAGUAACUGUGCACGUCUUGACGGUACCUAAUCAGAAAGCCACGGCUAACUACGUGCCAGCAGCCGCGGUAAUACGUAGGUGGCAAGCGUUAUCCGGAAUUAUUGGGCGUAAAGCGCGCGU
rnacentral:rRNA from 1 species